GGCAGACAGUCUCACACAUACACACACACAGUCACAGACAGUCACACACACACGCAAUCACAGGCAGAUAGUCACACAAGCAAACAGUCACACAUACACACAGUCACACACACACAAUCCCAGGCCGACAGUCACAUCCCAGGCAGAGAGUCACACACACACACACCAUCACAGGCAGAUGGUCUCACACACACACACAGGCAGAUAGUCAC